rnacentral:tRNA from 1 species
GCAGGGGUGGUCGAGUGGCUAAUGGCAUCGGGCUGUAAACCCGACAGACUAACGUCUUACGCAGGUUCGAAUCCUGCCCCCUGCA